rnacentral:rRNA from 1 species
AUUGAACGCUGGCGGCAGGCCUAAUACAUGCAAGUCGAACGGUAACAUAAGAAAGCUUGCUUUCUUGAUGACGAGUGGCGGACGGGUGAGUAAUAUUUGGGAAGCUACCUGAUAGAGGGGGACAACAGUUGGAAACGACUGCUAAUACCGCAUAAGCCCACGGCUCGGCAUCGAGCAGAGGGAAAAGGAGCAAUCCGCUUUGAGAUGGCCUCGCGUCCGAUUAGCUAGUUGGUGAGGUAACGGCCCACCAAGGCGACGAUCGGUAGCCGGACUGAGAGGUUGAACGGCCACAUUGGGACUGAGACACGGCCCAGACUCCUACGGGAGGCAGCAGUGGGGAAUAUUGCACAAUGGGGGAAACCCUGAUGCAGCGACGCCGCGUGGAGGAAGAAGGUCUUCGGAUUGUAAACUCCUGUUGUUGGGGAAGAUGAUGACGGUACCCAACAAGGAAGUGACGGCUAACUACGUG